UCCCUGGUGGUCCAGUGGUUAGGACUCAGUGCUGUCACUGCCAAGGGCCCAAGUUCAAUUCCUGGUCAGGGAA
rnacentral:tRNA from 1 species